rnacentral:rRNA from 1 species
AUGGCCUCUUUGACUGAUGACAUAAAAGGUUCCAUCAUUUGGAAGUUCAUCAAGGAUGUGGUGUACUCUACUUCCUCAGCCUACAGGGCUCAGUUUGAGGGACUCACUAAGUCGGAUCUUGUUCACUCAAUUUGGAAGGUUUGGGCACCCCCAAGGUGCAAGUUCUUUGCCUGA